rnacentral:tRNA from 1 species
GCCGGGGUGGCGUAAUUGGCAGCCGCGCAUGACUUAGGAUCAUGUGCCGAAAGGCGUGCGGGUUCGAGUCCCGCCCCCGGCA